rnacentral:rRNA from 1 species
AUUGAACGCUGGCGGCAUGCCUUACACAUGCAAGUCGAACGGCAGCACGGGAGCAAUCCUGGUGGCGAGUGGCGAACGGGUGAGUAAUACAUCGGAACGUGCCCAAUCGUGGGGGAUAACGCAGCGAAAGCUGUGCUAUUACCGCUUACGUCCUACGGAUGAAAGCAGGGGAUCGCAAGACCUUGCGCGAAUGGGGCGCCCGAUGGAGUUGGGUGGUGGGGAGGAAAAGGCUCACAAGCGUCGUUUUGUGCUGGCCUGAAGGGCCGACCAGUCACAUGGGACUGGGACAGGCCCAGAUCCUAGGGAGGACAGUGGGAUUUUGAACAUUGGGAAAGUUGGUUCAGCAUGCGGGUGCGGGUGGAGGCUUUGGGUUUAACUGUUUUGUCCGAAAGAAAGGCUUUUUUAUAAGAGGUUAUUACGGACCGUAAAUUAAGCACGGGCUAACACGGCCCGCGCGCGGAAAACGUAGGGGGCAGGGUUAUUUGAUUUAUUGGCCUAAACGGGCCGGCGUUUUUUUUAGAAGUUGUGCAUUUCCGGGUUCACCUGGAGCUGCAUUUGUAAUCCUGCUAGAGGUCGUUAGAGGGGGCGGAAA